UAAGUGCCGCUAUAGUCUCACAACAACAAAUUGCCUAAAGGUCUUAAUUUUUUUACGAUGUAUUGUAAUUUGUGGAACAACAUCAGGACACACGCCACAAAUAAGAGAAGGGGAGAAGGAGCUCGGCCAAACACCCAAAAAGGGUUUAGGCGCCAAUUAUAAUAUAUUGGAAUUCAGUGUUCAGAACUUAUUUUAUAUAAGCUUUAGUUUUUAUCACUCUUGCUUCUCACAAUGCUCAUCCUGCUCUUUCUACUCUCCUCAGCCUUCAGCCACCUAAGAUUUUAUAAUGCAAACUCACAGCCUUUACCUAUUUUUCAUUACUUAAUUUCCUACGAAUUUCUUGUCAUGAGUUUCUGCAUAAAAUAUUUUCCUACUACCUGUUCAUGCUUGUCUGUUUGUUAUUGCAAUAAUUUCAUAUGCUAUGAGCGCAGCAAUAACGAUUAUUGGUUACGCACGUGACUAACAUGCAGAAGGAUUUGCUUUUUGUUUUCAUAGAGCGGCAUUUUUAUUUCUUCAACAUUUUUUAAAGAGGGUUAAGAAAGAGUUUCACAGACUUUUUACUUUUUACUAGGAUACUCGUAUCAGACUGUAGAAGUAUAUGAAAAAUUAGGUAUAUAUAAUACGGAAGUGCAAUUCACUUCAAAUUUAGGGUAUGCAAAGUCACCAUGUUUCACUAGAUAUCCCCAAGUACUCUGAUUAACCCUGCUCAGCAGCUUUCUGUUCUCUUUAUAUUUUGGUAAUUUUGAUGAAAUUGAAAUGACAUUUUUUUUCUUUUAAUAGAGACGCAAUAAUUUUGUGAUUGAAAUAUCAGGAUACAAUUUUUCCAAUUUGAAAUUCAAUAUCGCUAAUAUUCGGAAAAAGUUACAAACUCACACUAUUUCUUUAAUGAUGCUGGAUGUUCAGUAACAGAAAAUAUUCGAUGAGACACCUGCUGGUAGAGACGAAGGAAAGGGUUGACAUAUUUCUAUUUGUGGAAGAUUAUAGGAAGGGGCGUUUGCCCAAGUUAUUUUAAUAAACUUGAGUCAAUCAAUAAGCAGGCAUUUUUUGAAAUGAGUUUGUCUCAUUCUUACAAAAAUACUUUUUUAUUAUAUAUAUUUUUGCUUUUUUGCAAUAUCAUUAAAUGAAGUAAAUAUAAAAUACUAUAUACAUAACCAAAUCCAAAAACCAUCAUUUCUUUAAUUCAUACCUAAUCUUUCUGUUGUUGUUGUUGUUGUAUCAGUAAUCUUUCUCUCUCUACUUGUAUUUUGUUACUUGACUACUGCUGUUAGUGGACAGAAGAGCGCAAUGUAUUGUAUGCAGCAGUUAACAUUUCUAUGUUAAUAUACAUGGUGUGAAUUCAUAAUAAAAAAUUUCUUCGUAAUUUGGUGCAUUUUCCUAUGAAUAUUUCUUAAUAUCAGUUUUAUGAGCAUGGCCAGAUACGAAAGCGCAAUGGCUCCCAGAUAAAUCCUUAAAAAAAACUCAUUACAAGUUGAGUGAGCACCAUCCUCUAGAAGAAGUAGUCAUCAACACAUUCCAGGUUUGCCAUAUAAUAAUUACCAGCGGAAAUGAUUGGGUAAGAUGAUCAUGUCACAUGCAGUGAGAUUGAGGCAUACUUGGACAUUAGUAUACUGAUCAGCACUAAGAUUUUGCAUGUUCGGACAAAGUGUUUCGAAAAUUUGUUUAAACUUAUGCAAAAUUAUAUUGAUUAUUACUACAACCACUAGUAUUAAUUUUUUCAGAAAUAAAAAUAGCAACCCU